rnacentral:rRNA from 1 species
CGGCCAACCCCGCGCCAGCAGCCGCGGGAACACGGAGGACCCGAGCGCCACCCGGACCCACCGGGCCCAAAGGGAGCGCAGGAGGACCGGCAAGCCAGCCGAGAAAGGCCGCGGCGCAACCGGAAAACCGCAGCCGACACCGCCAGCCCCGAGCACAGCAGAGGAGGGCGGAACCCGAGGAGCAGCGGAGAAACGCCCAGACACCACGAAGAACCCCGACCGCGAAGGCAGCCCACCGGACCGCAACAGACACCGACGCCCGAAAGAGAGGGCAUCAAACAAGACCAAACACCCAGGCAGCCCACACAGCAAACAACGAACACGCGCAGGCCGGCAAAAACAGGAAGCGGCCAAGCGAAAAGCACAAAGUAUUCCACCUGGGGAGUACGCCGGCAACGGUGACACUCAAAGGAAUUGACGGGGGCCCGCACAAGCGGAGGAACAUGUGGUUUAAUUCGAUGAUACGCGAGGAACCUUACCCGGGCUUAAAUUGCAGUGGAAUGAUGUGGAAACAUGUCAGUGAGCAAUCACCGCUGUGAAGGUGCUGCAUGGUUGUCGUCAGCUCGUGCCGUGAGGUGUCGGCUUAAGUGCCCUAUCGAGCGCAACCCUUAUCUUUAGUUUCUAACAGGUUAUCCUGAGGCCUCUAGAGAGACUGCCGUCGUAAGAUGUGGGGAAGGUGGGGAUGCCGUCAAAUCAGCACGGCCCUUACGUCCGGGGCUACACACGUGUUUCAAUGGGGGGUACAGAAGGCAGCUAGCGGGUGACCGUAUGCUAAUCCCAAAAGCCUCUCUCAGUUCGGAUCGAAGUCUGCCACCCGACUUCGUGAAGCUGGAUUC